rnacentral:rRNA from 1 species
UACGGAGGGUGCGAGCGUUGUCCGGAAUCACUGGGCGUAAAGGGCGCGUAGGCGGCCUGAUAAGUAGGGGGUGAAAUCCUGCGGCUUAACCGCAGGGCUGCCUUUUAAACUGUCGGGCUAGAGCACGGUAGAGGCAGAUGGAAUUCCCGGUGUAGCGGUGGAAUGCGUAGAGAUCGGGAAGAACAUCAGUGGCGAAGGCGGUCUGCUGGGCCGUUGCUGACGCUGAGGCGCGACAGCGUGGGGAGCAAACAGG